rnacentral:rRNA from 1 species
AAUGAACGCUGGCGGCAUGCCUAACACAUGCAAGUCGAACGGCAGCACAGUAAGAGCUUGCUCUUACGGGUGGCGAGUGGCGGACGGGUGAGGAAUGCAUCGGAUACCUCUUUUACGGGGGGGAUAACGUAGGGAAACUUCUGCUAAUACCGCAUAUUUCGUACGGGUGAAAUCAGGGGUUCUUCGGACUUUUCGUGAGUGUAUGAGCCGAAGUCGGAUUAGCUAGUUGGCUGGGUAACGGCCUACCAAGGCGACGAUCCGUAGCUGGUCUGAGAGGAUGAUCAGCCACACUGGAACUGAGACACGGUCCAGACUCCUACGGGAGGCAGCAGUGGGGAAUCUUGCGCAAUGGGCGAAAGCCUGAUCCAGCAACACCGCGUGAGUGAUGAAGGCCUUCGGGUUGUAAAGCCCUGUUGUUGGGAAAGAACGGCAGCAGGUUUAUCCGCGGCUAUUCUGACGGUACCUAAAGAAUAAGCCCCGGCUAACUUCGUG